AGGGUGUUGGCAGACCAAUGCGCCUGACUUAGGAUCAGACAACGGAAGCAAGCUUCCACCCCCUA
rnacentral:tRNA from 1 species